AAACUUUCAACAACGGAUCUCUUGGCUCUGGCAUCGAUGAAGAACGCAGCGAAAUGCGAUAAGUAAUGUGAAUUGCAGAAUUCAGUGAAUCAUCGAAUCUUUGAACGCACAUUGCGCCCGCCAGUAUUCUGGCGGGCAUGCCUGUUCGAGCGUCAUUACAACCCUCAGGCCCCCGGGCCUGGCGUUGGGGAUCGGCGAGGCGCCCCCUGUGGGCACGC
rnacentral:rRNA from 1 species